rnacentral:rRNA from 1 species
GGUGUGACUGCGUACCUUUUGUAUAAUGGGUCAGCGACUUAUAUUCUGUAGCAAGGUUAACCGUAUAGGGGAGCCGCAGGGAAACCGAGUCUUAACUGGGCGUUAAGUUGCAGGGUAUAGACCCGAAACCCGGUGAUCUAGCCAUGGGCAGGUUGAAGGUUGGGUAACACUAACUGGAGGACCGAACCGACUAAUGUUGAAAAAUUAGCGGAUGACUUGUGGCUGGGGGUGAAAGGCCAAUCAAACCGGGAGAUAGCUGGUUCUCCCCGAAAGCUAUUUAGGUAGCGCCUCGUGAACUCAUCUUCGGGGGUAGAGCACUGUUUCGGCUAGGGGGUCAUCCCGACUUACCAACCCGAUGCAAACUACGAAUACCGAAGAAUGUUAUCACGGGAGACACACGGCGGGUGCUAACGUCCGUCGUGAAGAGGGAAACAACCCAGACCGCCAGCUA